GCAGCUUCUGGAGUAUCGGACCGAGAAGGAGCGGGAGAAGCUGCUGUGUGAGGGCCGCAGGGAGAAGGGCAGCGACCCCGCCAUGGAGCUGCGGCUGAAGCAGCCCAGUGAAGUGGAGCUGGAGGAGUACUACCCGGCCUUCCUGGACAUGGUGCGGAGCCUGCUGGAGGGCAGCAUCGACCCCACGCAGUACGAGGAUACCCUACGCGAGAUGUUCACCAUCCAUGCCUACGUGGGCUUCACCAUGGACAAGCUGGUGCAGAACAUUGCGCGGCAGGUGAGCCGGGCCGGGGCAGGGCCAGCCGUGAGGACAGCGGAAAUGGCUCUACCGUCAUUUCACUCCCCCCUCGGGAGGGGGCCCGUGGUCAGCACAGCAAACCUAUCCUGUUUUUUCUUAAUUGAGACAAAAUUCGCAUAACAUAAAAUUAACCAUUUUGAAGUGUACAGUUUGGUAACAUUUAGUACAUUCACAAUAUUGUGCAACCACCACCUCUGUCUAGUUCCAGAACAUUUCAUC
rnacentral:sRNA from 1 species